rnacentral:lncRNA from 1 species
AAAAGAUGGCCAAUCAAAAGCAAGAACUAACAAGCAACACAACUAAAUGCAUAAUGAGAACUUCACUAGAAUAAAGUGCAAAGAAAUUACAAAUCUAAGACAUAGAGUUCCAACAAUCCAAGUCUCAAAAGUAAGGAAAAGAAAAUAGCCAAAGAUGACAGAAAUUAAAAGGAAAAAUAACAAUGCAAGUCUGCUCAUGAGAUCAAAGUAGCAUAAUUUAAAAUACAACUUCAUAAAUCAGAGCAAUAGCCAAAGAUGAUAGUUCAAGAAUGUGGUCUUUCUUCUUUCUCCUCAAAAUGGCAGUUGCUUCUCUUUCACCGUGACAAUUGUGGCUGCCUUCCCAAGAUGUAGCAGCUAGGUUUCCCAAGAAAUAGUCCUUGAAAAGACCAAGUUACCCCUUAUUUGGUGUAGACUUCAGGUGCUCUCCUCGAUUUUUGCUGAUAGAUAUGUUCAACUUUUAUGCCAAAUCAGCUAACUUUUUCUUAGGAUGCGUUUACUUUGAUUGAUAAAUUUAUCAUGAGAAAAUGAAGGAUAUCAAAAUUUUGUCUUUGAAUUGGUGAAAAUAAGGAAGGAAAUUGGUGAAUUUCUCUUUUGUGUAAAAUGUGAGAAAAUAAAGGAGACAUUUAAAGACAUAAAAUUUUGUUAUCCCUUCUUUUCUCAUGAUAAAUUUAUGGGGUAAUUGCCUGUAAAUUCCUAACGUUUACACGGAAUUGAUUUUUGCAUAUUUUUUUUAUUUUUUUCUUUUAAAUACCUAACCUUUAGUUUUUGUCUGAAAUUUAUCCGAUCACCGGUUUUUUCUUACGCCGGCGCCGGAAAUGCCACUUUGGCAGCCAUAAUAGAUGAGAUGGCAACAGGAAUUGACACCUAAAUAUAAUUUUUAUAUGUGGCAAAAAAAAAUUAAAAAAAAAGAGAAAAUUUCCAACUCAUCAUCUUCCCAACUCAUUCAUCUCUCCCCCCUUCCACCACCCGCCGGCGCCCGCCCCGCCGCCCACCAUACNAGACCUUUUAUAUUAGGGGUAAUUGCCUGUAAAUUCCUAACGUUUACACGGAAUUGGUUUUUGCUAUCUUUUUUAUUUUUCUCUUUUUAAAUACCUAACCUUUAGUUUUUGUCGGAAAUGCCACUUUGGCAGCCGAAAUAGAUGAGAUGGCAACCGGAAUUGACACCUAAAUAUAUUUUUACACGUGGCAAAAAAUUAAAAAAAGAGAAAAUUUCCAACUCAUCAUCUUCCCCAACCUCAUUCAUCUCUCCCCCCUUCCCACCACCCGCCGGCGCCGCCCACCGCCACCAUAAGCCAGCGCCGGCCACCCCUUCCCCCAUUCCCAGACCCAUUGGCCCUAUCCAAACCCCAGACCCAUCGGCCCCUCCCCAAAAUCCCCACGACUCCCGUCCUCGUCCCUCCCCCCACUCCCCACUACUCCCCGUCCUCGCCCCUCCCCCACGUCCCCCAACCCGCCCACCGCCCAUCGCCACCACCAUUGCCGGCACCACCUACACCGUUCUCACCACAUUCGCAAGCACAGACGGCAGCGCACAAAGGGCAACAAUUCGUGCCCUAGAUCUGCAAUUCUCCACCAACUCGCGUCGCCCCUUGCUGCGGUCUGGGGAGUGGGAGACCGACGAGAUCUGGGGAGGGGGAGGCCAGCGAGAUCUGGGGAGGGUGAGGCCGGAAGUCGGAGGCUGGUCUGCUGCUCCGCCGCUUGGUCGCGCGCCUUGCUCGUGCACUACCACGAAGUGGAGGCUGGUCUGCUGCUCCGGAGGACGGCGGCGGCGAUCGACUUCCUCAGCUGCUCCAGGCGGUGGAGCGUUGGUGGUGGUAGCGGUGGGUGGCGGCGCCGGCGGUGGUGGAGGUGGCAGGGGGCGGCGCCGGGUGGGGGGAGGGAGAGUUAGGGUUUGGGGUGGGGGAAGGGAGAAAGAACGAUUGGGGGGGUGAUUUUCCUUUUCUUUUCUUUUUUAUUUUUUUUCCACAUGUAUUUUUUAUUUCAAUUUUUUUUUAGAUUUUUUUGCCACAUGUCACAAAUGAGCCAAGUGGAGAAUUCCGGCUGCCACAGUGUGAAUUCCGGCUGCCACAGUGGCAUUUCCGGCGCCGGCGUAAGAAAAAACCGGUGAUCGGAUAAAUUUCAGACAAAAACUAAAGGUUAUGUAUUUAAAAGAAGAAAAAUAAAAAAAAGGUGCAAAAACCAAUUCCGUGUAAACGUUAGGAAUUUAUAGACAAUUACCCCUAAAUUUAUCUAUCAAAGUAAACGCACCCUUAUAGUAAGUGGUCCCCCUCUCUUUUGCUCGUGAAAAUCUCGUUCAACACAACUGAGCAUAAUGUUGUAGCAAAAUCCCAGCAAUACUAUAAUCUCUGCACAAGACAAACAAACCUCUCUUUUCUCUAUUUUUAUGAGAUCAGCUAACUUUUAAUAUCAGUUUUCAUACAUGUCAAUUCUCAAACACACAAAAGUAAAAGAGUAAAACGAAAAAUAAAAGAAAAAGAAAACCGAAAGAAACUACACACAACCACAAACGGAGCCAGGGGGGGCUAGAGCCCCCUCCAAAUUUUGAGUUUUUUUUUUUAAAUUGUAAAAUAUAUAUAGAUAUAUAUUUAUACCUAUUAUAAAAUAAUUUUGUUUUAUAAAAGAGUAUUUGGUUAUUAUAUUCUCUCAUAUAUACUUAAUUUAAGGAUAAUUUUGUUAUUUAAAACUAUAUAAUCUAUGAAAUAUUGUUUGUUAUUAUUACUAUUAUACUUGUCUUUUAAUAAAAAAUGCCUAAUAUGUAUGAAAUGCUAAAAAAAAUUAUAAUGUAUUGAAACUAAUUUGUAAUAUAUAGAAAAUAUAUAAUCUAUGAACAUGUUGUUUGUAUUAUUAUUAUUAUGCUUGCCUUUUAAUAAAAAAUGUCUUAAAUAUACGGAAUGUCCAAAAAAAGUUUUGUGAUAUAUUGAAACUAUAUAAUCUAUGAAAAUAUUGUUCGUUAUUAUUAGUAUUAUGCUCGUAUUUUAAUAAAAAAAAUACCUUAAAUAUACGGAAUGCCCAAAAAAAUUUUCUCGGGGGCUACCGCCCCGAACCCCCGUUCAAGUUCAACCCCCAAUAACGGCUCACACAACACGGAUCAAACUCUUCUUAAAAGCUU